rnacentral:rRNA from 1 species
CAGCAGCCGCGGUAAUACAUAGGGUGCGAGCGUUAAUCGGAAUUACUGGGCGUAAAGCGUGCGCAGGCGGCUUUGCAAGACAGAGGUGAAAUCCCCGGGCUCAACCUGGGAACUGCCUUUGUGACUGCAAGGCUAGAGUACGGCAGAGGGGGAUGGAAUUCCGCGUGUAGCAGUGAAAUGCGUAGAUAUGCGGAGGAACACCGAUGGCGAAGGCAAUCCCCUGGGCCUGUACUGACGCUCAUGCACGAAAGCGUGGGGAGCAGACAGGAUUAGAUACCCUGGUAGUCCACGCCCUAAACGGUGUCAACUGGUUGUUGGACGGCUUGCUGUUCAGUAACGAAGCUAACGCGUGAAGUUGACCGCCUGGGGAGUACGGCCGCAAGGUUGAAACUCAAAUGAAUUGACGG